CCUACGGGAGGCAGCAGUGGGGAAUAUUGGACAAUGGGCGAAAGCUGAUCCAGCAAUGCCGCGUGAGUGAUGAAGGCCUUAGGGUUGUAAAGCUCUUUUACCCGGGAUGAUAAUGACAGUACCGGGAGAAUAAGCCCCGGCUAACUCCGUGCCAGCAGCCGCGGUAAUACGGAGGGGGCUAGCGUUGUUCGGAAUUACUGGGCGUAAAGCGCACGUAGGCGGCUUUGUAAGUUAGAGGUGAAAGCCCAGAGCUCAACUCUGGAACUGCCUUUAAGACUGCAUCGCUUGAAUCAUGGAGAGGUUAGUGGAAUUCCGAGUGUAGAGGUGAAAUUCGUAGAUAUUCGGAAGAACACCAGUGGCGAAGGCGACUAACUGGACAUGUAUUGACGCUGAGGUGCGAAAGCGUGGGGAGCAAGCAGGAUUAGAUACCCUGGUAGUCCACGCCGUAAACGAUGAUAACUAGCUGUCAGGGCUCUUGGAGCUUUGGUGGCGCAGCUAACGCGUUAAGUUAUCCGCCUGGGGAGUACGGCCGCAAGGUUAAAACUCAAAGGAAUUGACGGGG
rnacentral:rRNA from 1 species